CGCCUUUUGUAAAGAUAGAAGGUCUAGCCUGCCCACUGAAUCAGUUAAAGGGCCGCGGUAUAUUGACCGUGCAAAGGUAGCAUAAUCAUUAGUCUUCUAAUUAAAGGCUGGAAUGAAUGGCUGGACGAGGUAUUAGCUGUCUCCUUAAGAUAGCCCAGAAAUUAACUUUUUAGUCAAAAGGCUGAAAUAAGAUUGUAGGACGAGAAGACCCUAUAGAGCUUUAUAUCACAAAUAUGUAGCUUGUUUUGACGGAGUUUAGCUUAAUAUGGGAGAUAUUUUGUUGGGGUGACAGGAAGAUAUAAGAAACUCUUCUUUUAGUAGACCAUAAAUACAUGAAUUAAAUGAUCCAGUAAGAGUGAUUAAAAGACUAAGUUACCUUAGGGAUAACAGCGUAAUCUUUUUUGAGAGUUCAAAUCGACAAAAAGGGUUGCGACCUCGAUGUUGGACUAAGGGUUAUUCUUGGGUGUAGAAGUUCAAGGUUUGGGUCUGUUCGACCCUUGAAUCCUUACAU
rnacentral:rRNA from 1 species